AGUUUUGGAAUGGACAAAACAUUGUCUUACCGUAGCAGGGACCACCUACCACUCAACGUUAAAAAGCAUGGCUUUGUGGCUAUUUCAGAGCAGAUGACCUUCACCUUCACCUCCAUCUCCAAAAUCCAAACAUUUUACCAUGUUUGCCACCACCACCACCACCAGCAUCGCAUCACCACCACCACCCUCCCCACCAUUUCCACCCCCCACUCUGCCUCCACCCUUCCCCCCAUUUUCCCCACUUACUCCACCACCGCCAGCGCCAGCAUUUGAGUUUCCUCCACUCUCACCUUUUCCGCCAUUGCCCGAUUUGCCGCCUUUCAGUGCAUCACCACCACCACCACCCAUACCUCUGUCACCACCAGACAACACAUGGCCACCACCAAGUCAACCACAACCACUACUCACGCCGCUCCUUCUGGUGUGUAUCUUGGCUCUAACAAUAAUAACCACCAUCGUCACAGUGAGAAUUAACAAUUCUCUACGAAACCCGCCUGAGAGAGAGGCUGACCAGACACAAAGCAACCCGAAUCAAAGAGACGCAGAGCAGAUGGAGGACUUUCCGCAGCCUCCGCAGAGACAUAUGGUGGCGGCAUAUAAGGGUGCCGGACUCCAUCACAUAUUGACCACUAUAUAUAGUGACCGGUGAAGAUGGACAACAAAAAAAAUCAGAGCAGCAGCGCAGAUUUAUCCAUCCCUACUAUCGGGGCUAUACUAUUGGAUGGUAGUGGUUUUAUACUAUUACGGGUAUAUAUUAUGGAAUAUUGUUUUAAUUGUUUUGGACGAUUAUGUAUUAAAACUUGGAUGGUGUAGUAUGUGGUAGCAAAAUGGGAAUUAUAUUGUUGGAAUUUUAGUUGUAUAGUCUAUUUUCAGCUAAUUUUACUCCCCUCCCCUCCACUCCCCCUCCCUCUUCCCUCAAUUCAAACAGGCCCUAAGGUUUUUUUUCAUCCCCCUUUGUUUAUUUAAUAGUUGUGUAUUGUGUGAAUGUUUUGAGUCUUAGCUGGGAAUCAUAAAUGGGUUUGACAAUGAUAAUUGUGGAAUUUGAAAUGUGUUGCUUUC